rnacentral:rRNA from 1 species
AUUAGCUUCGAAUUUUACCCACCACGUAGUACACGGAAUAUGUUUGGCAACUGGUUUCAGGGUAUGAAUAAACAAUUUUAUGCACAUAUUCUUGUGGGAGCGGCGGCCUUAUGCUGGGCAAUAUGGCUUACCAGGAAUGAUGUGGUUUUUAACAAUAAAUGUGUCUCAUCUCCUAUGCAGGUUAUUCAUGUUUGUACACGAUGGCUCCGUACUUGGUCUAUCCUGCAGAAGCCGGAGGACAGGGACCUUUUUAUGAUGGUGUCUACACGGCUGGAGCGUACGGCCAGGAAGGUUUUCCACCCCCAUGGAUGA